rnacentral:rRNA from 1 species
GGAUGAACGCUAGCUACAGGCUUAACACAUGGAAGUCGAGGGGAAACGACAUCGAAAGCUUGCUUUUGAUGGGCGUCGACCGGCGCACGGGUGAGUAACGCGUAUCCAACCUGCCCACCACUAGGGGAUAACCUUGCGAAAGUAAGACUAAUACCCAAUGAUAUCUCUAGAAGGCAUCAGAAAGAGAUUAAAGAUUUAUCGGUGAUGGAUGGGGAUGCGUCUGAUUAGCUUGUUGGCGGGGUAACGGCCCACCAAGGCUACGAUCAGUAGGGGUUCUGAGAGGAAGGUCCCCCACAUUGGAACUGAGACACGGUCCAAACUCCUACGGGAGGCAGCAGUGAGGAAUAUUGGUCAAUGGACGAGAGUCUGAACCAGCCAAGUAGCGUGCAGGAUGACGGCCCUAUGGGUUGUAAACUGCUUUUAUAAGGGAAUAAAGUGAGUCUCGUGAGACUUUUUGCAUGUACCUUAUGAAUAAGGACCGGCUAAUUCCGUGCCAGCAGCCGCGGUAAUACGGAAGGUCCGGGCGCUAUCCGGAUUUAUUGGGUUUAAAGGGAGCGUAGGCCGGAGAUUAAGCGUGUUGUGAAAUGUAGAUGCUCAACAUCUGCACUGCAGCGCGAACUGGUUUCCUUGAGUACGCACAAAGUGGGCGGAAUUCGUGGUGUAGCGGUGAAAUGCUUAGAUAUCACGAAGAACUCCGAUUGCGAAGGCAGCUCACUGGAGCGCAACUGACGCUGAAGCUCGAAAGUGCGGGUAUCGAACAGGAUUAGAUACCCUGGUAGUCCGCACGGUAAACGAUGGAUGCCCGCUGUUGGUCUGAAUAGGUCAGCGGCC